UACGUAGGGUGCAAGCGUUAAUCGGAAUUACUGGGCGUAAAGCGUGCGCAGGCGGUUAUGUAAGACAGUUGUGAAAUCCCCGGGCUCAACCUGGGAACUGCAUCUGUGACUGCAUAGCUAGAGUACGGUAGAGGGGGAUGGAAUUCCGCGUGUAGCAGUGAAAUGCGUAGAUAUGCGGAGGAACACCGAUGGCGAAGGCAAUCCCCUGGACCUGUACUGACGCUCAUGCACGAAGGCGUGGGGAGCAAACAGG
rnacentral:rRNA from 1 species